rnacentral:lncRNA from 1 species
CCUAGGCUGCCUUUCUCCACCCUAAUCACCGCCCCCUGCUUCUCUCAGCUUAGCCAUCCGAGGUGGGUGGGAAACGAGUAAGAGGGGCGGGGGAAAGAAAAACAUUCUCAAAAAAAAAAAAAAAAAAAAAAAAUUAAAAAGAAAACAUCCCACUUGGCAGCGAGUGCGCGGGAAGUUCAGCGCGCGAGUUCCGGGCUUCCCGCCCGUCCGCAGAGGACUGCAGCCUGGGGAGAGCCAGAUUG